GAACUCAGAGAGAUCCCCCUGCCUCUGCCUCCUGAGUCUCACAGCAUGACCAGCUCUCCUGUUCUGUGUGUGGUUUUAAUUUCUGAAGGGCAGUCUGGUGCGAGCCACUGCUUGUGGGCUCCUGUCUCAGCCUCACUCUUGGCCUUGUGCAGGCCUCUGGCUUCAGUGUGUGCUGGCUGCUGCGAAAGUCAUGAUUUUGGUGGCAUCUAGCCAGGACCAUUGGUGUCCCUUCCUUCUUUUUCUUUCCCCUUUUUUAUUUAUUCAUUUGUAUGUGGGGUCCUGGGGUCAUUUCCCGGUCAGUGGUUAGACGACAACUUGUGUACUCACUUCUCUCCUUCCGUUGUGUGGGGCCGGCCCAGUGACUGAGCUGUCUGUCAGGUUCGCAGGCAGUCACCUUUACCUGCUAAGUCCGUCUCUCUUCCACUCUUACACUAGAGGCACAGAAUCAAAACUCAGCCUGGUCAGACGUCACAGCCAUCUAAACUGUCUGUCCCCUUUCGUUACAGAGCUGGUUGAUCAGAAUGAGUCUGAAGGCCCUGUGAUACAAGAAUCAGCUGAGGCAAGCCAGUUGGAAGUUCCAGCAACAGAAG
rnacentral:lncRNA from 1 species